rnacentral:misc_RNA from 1 species
GUAGGAGCCGGGCUUGCCCGCGAAGCCUUUAGCGGUUUCAAGGACGCCUUCGCGGGCAAGCCCGGCUCCUAC